CCUACGGGAGGCAGCAGUGGGGAAUAUUGGACAAUGGGCGAAAGCCUGAUCCAGCCAUGCCGCGUGAGUGAUGAAGGCCCUAGGGUUGUAAAGCUCUUUUGUCCGGGACGAUAAUGACGGUACCGGAGGAAUAAGCCCCGGCUAACUUCGUGCCAGCAGCCGCGGUAAUAAUCGUC
rnacentral:rRNA from 1 species